UACGAGUGCCCCAAGCGUUAUCCGGAAUCAUUGGGCGUAAAGGGUGUGUAGGCGGUUGUGUUAGUCUUUUGUUAAAUUCUUCGGCUUAACCGGGGGCAUGCGAAGGAAACGGCACAACUAGAGGAUGCGAGAGGUGAAUGGAACUCAUGGAGUAGGGGUGAAAUCCGUUGAUAUCAUGGGGAACACCAAAUGCGAAGGCAAUUCACUGGCGCACUCCUGACGCUGAGACACGAAAGCGUGGGGAGCGAACAGG
rnacentral:rRNA from 1 species